AUCACUACGCUCUCUUCGCUCUUCUCUGCGUCGGCUCCUCCCUCUUUUAACGCUUCUUGAAUUCAAGAAUACACGCUCACAACCAUGGGCAUCAAGGACAUGUACCUGCUUGCCUACAACGCGGGCAUGUGUGUUGGCUGGGGCACGAUCCUCGUGAAGGUCAUCGGGCAUUUGGCGGAGGGUCGCGACCCCGCCUCGGUCUACCCCGGCAUUGCGCGGCUGCUGUGCGUUGCGCAGACCGGCGCCGUUGCCGAGAUACUUCAUGCCGCCUUCGGCGUCGUGCGCAGCCCAGUCGGCACGACCUUCCUGCAGGUCUUGUCGCGCCUCAUCGUGCUGUACGGUGCCGUGCGCAUCGGCGACACGGAUUCCACAAAGAGCCUCGUGUUUGUGCAGAUGCUGGUCGCCUGGUGCCUGAGCGAAAUAAUUCGCUACUCGUUCUACGGCGCGAACCUCCUCCGCGUCAAUCUUGCGUCGCUGACGUGGCUGCGCUACUCCGCCUUCAUGGUGCUCUACCCUGUCGGCAUCACCGGAGAAAUCGGAUGCCUGUACAAGGCGCUACCGUAUAUCAAGAAGCACAAGCCGUGGACCGUGGAGCUGCCGAACAAGCUGAACUUCACCUUCUCGUGGUACAACACCGUGUGGUUCAUUCUCCUCGGCAUAUACCCCUACGGCAGCUACGUCAUGUACUCGUACAUGCUCGCGCAGCGCCGAAAGACGUUCGCAAAGUCCGCGUCCGAGAGGUCGAAGAAGUCGGCGUAAGACGGACGCCUGCCCACGCCUGUGCGCGCGUGGGCACACGGCACAUUACGAUGACGCGCACCGAAGACAGCGCAGGCGUCAGGGAUACUUUGAGGGUGGCACGCAAGCGACGCGAAAGGAACGGAAAGCCGUAUGCACAUGUGAUGUAUAUCUACGCGUAUCGAAGUGGAGGCACGGGGUGGCGGGCGCGGUGGUGCACCAGUAUGGAGCCGCUGUGCCCCUCCCCACCGGCCCGCAACUCUUUGCGCCCCUUCUUCAUCUCUCUUCUCGCUCCUAUGCACCUCUGGUCCAAUUGUAUCCAAGCAUGAGAAGGACGCGGUGCAGCUGGAGUGGAGAUGGAACGAAGAAGUGGGGGCGGGGGGGGGGGCUGGAGACUCCAAAAAUGCGAGAACGGCUUUUACGUUUAGGAGGAGGACAGUGCGAGGGCUUUUGAUUGGCAAAGGCAGGGCGAGUAGGGCCGUGAACAGAGAAUAAUUCUGAUGGCCACGUCUCCUCCUUCGCCCGUCCCCCCCCGUCCCUGUCCACUCGCGUGUUUCCCGCCUCUCACGUAUUCGCCGAAGGAACGGGGCAUGGAAGAGUGGAGUAGGGUGGGGUGGAAGACGGUGGGGAGGGGAGGGAGCGCAUGACCCUGUGCGUCAAUGCAUUCGAACCGCCGCUGUCUGCCCUGCUGUCUGGUUGUUUGUGCGCUUAGGUGUUUCCUCCUGCACGCUGUGCGGUAGCGUUGGCGUAUGUGUGCGUGUGUGUGUGUGUGGCGACUUCCAUCUCUCCCUCUCCUCCCCCCUCUCUCUCUCGACUCGUGUGCCAUCGUCACGGCCUCGCCCACAGACAUACGAACUAUCCACGGCCCCCCUCGUCUGCCAUCCCUGUCCACCGCCUCUCUCACGUUCGUUCGGAGACCUCCUCGUUGUUUCUGUUUCGGUUGCUGCUGCUCCGCCUUCACGGAAGAGCGAAGUCUGCGCCACCGGUUCUUGGUUGCUUCACUCCUCCCUCCCUCUCCGUGUUUUGUGUGCUGUGCCUUGCAUUGUGUGUGUGUGUGUUUAUACGUGUGCAAGUCCAUGCAAGCGUGUUGUAUAUGCAUGUGUGUUCCACAUCUCACUCUCUCCCUCCUUUGGCUGCGACCCUUGACCAUGUUUGGCUCCCUCUCGCGUUCAGUUUCGCUCGCAGACGAUAAGUCGCCUUCGCCGGCCACCUCAUCCGCACGUCCAGCAGCCCUAACAACCCCUUCUUCCCCUCCCUCCUCUCCCUUCCCAAACCGAAAGAAUACAUGCUGUAGAUGUUGCUAAGGCGAGCUCGACAACACACCCGUGGUACAACACAUAUGCGUGGGCUUGUAUGGGCAGUGGCAGGAGACGAAGGAGGGGGAGAGGCGAUCCUGUCAGUCUUGUGCA
rnacentral:misc_RNA from 1 species